GCUGGAUGCUGCUGCUGUUCCAGCUUCCUAGGUGUGGAAACUGAAGGACCAAGAGAUUAAACAGUGGUGCAAAAGUGGUAAGAAUUCAGCAUUCUCCUCGACAAGUGGACGAGCAUCUACUGUGCUUUCACAGCGGCUAUCACUAUUGCCAGCAGCAAGACUGUCAGCUCGGCGCCCUCGUCUGGUUGGAUGGGAAACUGCAGUUGCUAAGGGAGCUGGGUUUGAAUCUCUGAGGACAAAUGGGAAUUCUCACUGAUUUCUAGGACUACCCUGGGGCAGGCACCCUGCACAGCAAUACACACUGAACAAUGUCGAGUUUCUGCUGAAUAGACUUCCUACGUUGCUCUGGAAUUCGAAGUUGGCCUAACUGAGGUCUCCAGUUACAGAAAACACUGGCUCUGUAUCCUGGGCUUUGAGAAAACUUAUCAGGCUGUCACACUUACCAUCCCUUCAGUCUGCUUGUCAGGUUCCUUAAGGACGCAUAUCUCAAAUGUAUGGCAUCUACCUCUACCUGGGUCACAACCAAGUGGGUUUCUACUAGAUCGGUGUUCCUUGACAGCCAACAAGGGAGCUGACACUGCCCUCCUAAGUUCUGAUCUUGCUCCUGUUCAACUGGAACUUGAUGGAUCCCAUGUGGUUUCCCCCAUCCUGACGCUGUGGCUCAGACACUCUCCCUAAGCUGGUCCUUCCCUCCAAAUCCUGCCUUAAACACACUCAGAAGGUAGAAAACACUUCAGCAGCAAAGUCCUCUUCCCAAGCCAACAGUUGUGUUCUUCCAAUCACAUGAUCUUACCUUUUCAAUAAAAGGCAAAACAAACCAAUUUCCAACAUAGCAUUACAGCCUUUAAAACCAUUCACUUCUCAUAGUGAUUCACAGAGAACAAGAGAUUAAAGUGCUGGAUUUUAAAUGUCUAAAGUUGCCUUCAGGGCUACAAAAAGCCCUGCCGUGUGUGUUUUUCCUUCAUGGUGUUGAGGGGAAGGAAAGAUAGGGAAGGGCAGUGGGGAGAAACCCUAAAAUUUUCAAUCAGAAACUGGAAAUUGUAAAAGUGGGAGGUGGGGAGUUCUGUGCAAAUCAAUCUCCCAAGGUUCUGCGUCCUCUAGUGAGCCUCAAAGAAAAAAAAAAAAACAAAAAGGUGGGGACUCGCAAAAAGGAUGAGGGAAAGGCUCCAGACCUACAGAGCACCUCCCUUAAUAAAUACCAGUUAGUAAGAAAGAGAUGCACCUGCACAGGAAUGCACAGCAACAGUGGGGAGGGCCUGAGGUGGAGUCCGCCGAGCACCCUGUCGCCCCACUGAGGCUCCCUUGGGGACAGGCGGUCUAGUGCUCAUUCCUUGCCCUACGUGCAGCAGGUACUGUGCAGGCUCUGGAGAUGCCCAGUCCUCUGUCUGGACCAGAGUCCACACAGAGCUGAGCUGGGGCAGGAGACUGGCUUUCACUAGGCUUUCAUCUGAUUUUAAUAAGGACCUGGAAGAUAAAAGGCUAAAUGUGUGGUAGAGGACAAAAAACAAAAACAAACCUGGGGGAUAAUAUAAAUACAAUCUGGGGGCAAUAUUUAUUAAUUAAAACUACGUCUUAUAGUUUACAAAGAUGCUAAUGAACAACAAAAGUAUAAUUGACCUUUAAAAUCCUCAGUGAGACAGAGGCUUCACAUCUUCAGAAUUCUAAAGUGUGCUCCAGGCAGGGAGGCGGGGCUGUGGCACGCAGGUUCCCAGGGGCAGCACCUGCAGACUGCAGGACUCGGAGACCAAAAGGAUCCACAAAGCAAGACUCCAGUCUCCUGUAGAAUUCCAUUCCCCAACCCCCACUGUCCUUGUAUUCCUGCCUCCCCAGAUUCCAUUUCCAAGGCAAGUCCUCAGUUUAUCGUCGGGAGAAUCUGUUCUUGAAAGCUUUAAUUGUCUUGGCCAUCAUUGGGGCAA
rnacentral:lncRNA from 1 species